rnacentral:tRNA from 1 species
GCCUGGCUAGCUCAGUUGGUAGAGCAUGCGACUCUUGAUCUCGGGGUUGUGGGUUUGAGUCCCACUUUGGGUG